rnacentral:rRNA from 1 species
AUUGAACGCUGGCGGCAUGCCUUACACAUGCAAGUCGAACGGCAGCACGGGAGCUUGCUCCUGGUGGCAAGUGGCGAACGGGUGAGUAAUACAUCGGAACGUACCCUGAAGUGGGGGAUAACGUAGCGAAAGUUACGCUAAUACCGCAUAUUCUGUGAGCAGGAAAGAGGGGGAUCGCAAGACCUCUUGCUUUAGGAGCGGCCGAUGUCGGAUUAGCUAGUUGGUGAGGUAAAGGCUCACCAAGGCGACGAUCCGUAGCGGGUCUGAGAGGAUGAUCCGCCACACUGGGACUGAGACACGGCCCAGACUCCUACGGGAGGCAGCAGUGGGGAAUUUGGACAAUGGGCGGCAAGACCUGAUCCACGCCAUGCCGCCGUGAGUGAAGAAGGACCUCGUG